UUAUACAGCAGCAGCAGGAGCUCAGAUUCAGAGCUGAGUGAACGUCAGGGUGAGAGAGAGGGAGAGCAAGCGAGAGAAAGCGCGCAAUAGAGGGAGACUGUACCCACUCUAGCAUCAGUGUGUGACAGCUGGUGCCUGAUAACACUGAUAUUGAGCUCCUUUAGUGGAGAACUUGCUGAGCUACCCUUUUUUCAUUUGCAAGAGGAUGCCAGCUCUAAGCCAGUGCAACUAAUGACAGACUGGAUCUUGGAAUAGUUCGUUUCACUUACAAUUACAUCUCUCAUGUUCUGCUUCUCCGAAGAAAGGCGUAUUACGGAAGACAAAAAUUCAUUCUCCCCUUACCUCACAUAUUAUUGAUGAUAUACAGAGUUUGAUUUUCCAGUGAAAGCUACGGAAUUAUCAGGUUUUUGGUAUCUUCAGUGGAACCUUGCAAGACUGUUUGGUGGAAAAUAUAUUCCUAAGGACUUGGUUAGUCAUCAAGUUACAAAACAAAUUCAAGACCAGAAGACAAAAAGGUAGCUGAGGUAGUAAUUCUCCUGAAGAAUUAAGAAACCAGUGUCUUCGAGGGCAUUCUUUUAAGUGCAUUGAGCAGUUGGGACUCCGUUCAGCUACUGAUGUGUCUCGUUCAGAGCACCCUUGAUUGUCGACAUCCACAAAGGGGAAGGAGAUACGAAAAAACCAAAAGUUCAGUGUGUGAUUGUGCCCCGGAUGGAACAGUUGCUCUAAGACACGCUGCAUAGCUCAAAUGCAGCUAAAGAGGCAGUAGGUUUGAUUUGGCAAGUCAUUUGGAAAAGGAGGAGUGGAGAAGUGCCCUGUAACCAUUGAACAAUAAAAAAUGAUCAGCUGUGGAACUCUAUUGUGAAGACCUCAGAAGAAAUACCAAUAUUUCCAAUCAGCUUUUCAUAAUGUAAAUAUAUUUUGAGCUUUCCCAGAUGGGCAGCUAAACCAUGAACAUGCAGAAAAGCCCAAUUUGGACUGUAUUUCUGAAGCAGACUUCACCUUCUCUCUCGGGACUUUAUUGAAGGAUUACAGCUGAAGAGGACAAGAGAAAAAAAACCUUGAACAGGAAUCUUAUCCUACAAUGAGAAUUACAAGUACAUCUUGUAUCUGCCCAGUCCUAGUUUGUCUCUGUUUUGUGCAGAGGUGUUAUGGAACUGCUCACCAUGGCUCCAUCAAGGUGACCAGAAAUCAAACCAAACACAUAGAAGGUGAAACAGAAGUGCAUCAUCGUCCAAAGCGUGGAUGGGUGUGGAAUCAGUUCUUUGUUUUAGAAGAACACAUGGGACCAGAUCCUCAGUAUGUAG